GAUGGAUUGGGCUGCUCUCCCCUACAGUUUUAUAUAUGCUUGCCAAAGAAGUAAGACCUCUGUACUGAUAAGAGUAAGAUAAGUCUAAAUGUUUCUUACAGACAAAGUUGACAAGAUUCAAAAGUGGUUUGGGUAAAAGAGACUCAAUCCUAGAGGGGCAUUUGAUUCCAAAAGGGAAGAAGACGUACUUCAUCUGGAACAUCAUGAAGUCACAGAAGAACUUCACAAGUGUUCCGAUCAGAAGGGAGCCCUUUGAGUAAGUGAAAUGAAGCAUGAAUAACUGCCUAAUUAGUGGACAUGAAAACUGGACAGUCUCCAAAGUCAUCAGAGAUGACCACGCUUGCCAGGCAACUUACUAGACUAAGGGUGGUGUCUCAAGACAUUCAAGGUGCUCAGUGAGUGCAGACUAUGCAGAAGAAGUGACACAGAAGCCUGAUGGAGGUGAUGAUACCCAGUGGCCAUGGGACUUUGUCAGCAAAGGCAGUGAUAAACAGCAUGAGAGGUGACGUGCCCAUCAUGCAGGAAGCUUCUCCGAGGCUGGCGAGAGCAACUUGUCUGCUUUGAGAAAUGCAGAUCUAUCAGGAUCCAGAAUCGGACUCUGAAAAAGCUGUCAUUUCAUGUCUCUAAAACAGCCUUUGAUUUAAUGUACAAGAUGUCAAGAAGUAAAGGACAAUAAAAUAAAAACCAAAAAAGGAGAACUAUUUCAAUUAAGAAGCAUUUCUAUAUCAAUUCUUGGAAAUCACAUAAAAUAAAAGCUGUCA
rnacentral:lncRNA from 1 species